UGAGUGCUGUGUAUGAUGUGUGAGAGUGCUGAGUGUGAGAGUGCUGAGUGUGAGAGUGCUGUGUAUGAUGUGUGUGAGAGUGCAGAGUGUGAUGUGUGUGAGAGUGCUGUGUAUGAUGUGUGUGAGAGUGCAGAGUGUGAUGUGUGUGAGAGUGCUGUGUAUGAUGUGUGUGAGUGCUGUGUAUGAUGUGUGUGAGAGUGCUGUGUGUGAGAGUGCUGUGUGUGAGAGUGCUGUGUGUGA